CCCUUAGAUGUUCUGGGCCGCACGCGCGCUACACUGAUGCAUUCAACGAGUCUAAAACCUGCUCUGAUAGGGGUGGGUAAUCUUUUGAAUGGGCAUCGUGAUUGGGAUAGAUGAUUGCAAUUUUUCAUCUUCAACGAGGAAUGCCUAGUAAACGCAAGUCAUCAGCUUGCAUUGAUUACGUCCCUGCCCUUUGUACACACCGCCCGUCGCUCCUACCGAUUGAAUGAUCCGAUGAAUAUCAUGGAUUGAGGAUGCAAGCAGGUUCGCCUGUCUUCAUCUUCGAGAAGUGAAGUAAAUCUUAUCAUUUAGAGGAAGGAGAAGUCGUAACA
rnacentral:rRNA from 1 species